GGAUCUGUGAUGCCAUUGAUGGAACUUCUUCUGUGAAUGGAACACUUACCAAAAUAGCUGCAGGUGUAUUUGCUUACAGAGGGAAUGUAUCCUGUUAUAUUAAUGAGCCCAGAAAUGAAACAGAAACUGAUGUAGGAUGGAGAUGGCAGUCAUGCAGUGAGAUGGUGAUGCCAAUAAGUUCAGAUGAUGAUAUGUUUCCACCGUACCCUUUUGACCUUGGAAGUUUCAUCAGUU
rnacentral:misc_RNA from 1 species